rnacentral:pre_miRNA from 1 species
ACUGAGAUCGAUUGGUGCAUAGAUAUCAAGGAGAUCCGAUCAUUUCAAUUCUAGCACCAUUCGAAAUCAGUGCU